UACUCACUCCCUCCGUUCGGAAAUACUUGUCGUAGAAAUGCAUAAAAUGGAUGUAUCUAAAACUAAAAUACGUCUAGAUACAUUCAUUCUUUUGACAAAUAUUUUCGGACGGAGGGAGUAGGAC
rfam:Triticum aestivum genome assembly, contig: Triticum_aestivum_CS42_TGACv1_scaffold_222670_3B